AUUGAACGCUGGCGGCAGGCCUAACACAUGCAAGUCGAGCGGAUGAAGGGUGCUUGCUCCUGGAUUCAGCGGCGGACUGGUGAGUAAUGCCUAGGAAUCUGCCUGGUAGUGUUGGAUAACGUCCUGAAACAGGCGCUAAUACCGCAUACGUCCUGAGGGAGUAAGUGUGGAAUCUUCGGACCUCACGCUAUCAUAUGAGCCUAGGUCGGAUUAGCUAGUUGGUGGGGUAAAGGCCUACCAAGGCGACGAUCCGUAACUGGUCUGAGAGGAUGAUCAGUCACACUGGAACUGAGACACGGUCCAGACUCCUACGGGAGGCAGCAGUGGGGAAUAUUGGACAAUGGGCGAAAGCCUGAUCCAGCCAUGCCGCGUGUGUGAAGAAGGUCUUCGGAUUGUAAAGCACUUUAAGUUGGGAGGAAGGGCAGUAAGUUAAUACCUUGCUGUUUUGACGUUACCAACAGAAUAAGCACCGGCUAACUUCGUG
rnacentral:rRNA from 1 species